ACUAUACUUUUCAGAUAGGAUCACCUAUAAAUAGUGUUUUGGUAUUGGUUUCCCAUAUCUGACACUCUGAAUCUUCUAUCUUGGUCAUCUUUGAAUAUUUUGUUAUUUCUAUGUUGACUGUUCCCUGCCCAAGUACAUUACAAGUAAUCCUUGAUUUACAACUGUAACUGAAUAUGGAAUUAUACUCGUAAGUCAUGCCAGUCAUGAAGCAGUGCCCAUGACUGUACCCGAUUUCAUAAUCUUUUUUGUGGUAGUCAUUAGAUGAAUGCUGUGGUUGCUAAGCAAAUCCAUUGUCCACAAUGGGCAUUUUUGCUAACAACUAGAAGGACAUGGGAAAGUUGUAAAUCGUGAUCACUUAUCUGUGGGACACCUCCAUAAAUGUGGACCUGUUGCCGAAUACCCAAAACAUGAUCAUGUGAUUAUGGGGUGAUGCCCAACUAUCACAACUUCAAAUCCGGAUUGCAAAUACCUUUGGGGUGGGGUGUUGUCAUAGCUUUGAGUGAUCGCUAAGCAAACGGUCAUACAUUGAGGACUCCCUACACAAAUAUAUGGGAUUGUGAUAUUCGUGAUGUUCUGAUAUCUCCCUCUUGCUCCCCAUUAAUGUAGGCAUACUUUUUUGAUGCCCCUGAACUGGAGGUCCUUUCAUUGACUACAGUGCUUCCACCUAAUGGAACAAUAGAAGUAACAAAGGCUCAGUAAAUAAGGAGAUUCCUAUGAAGUUCCGAAUCAGCUGAAUUGGUCUGCUUGAGAGUGAUUUUGUUGCUGCACAAAGAGAAGCAACCCAAAAUGAAACCUGGACCACGAGGAAACUUUGAGUGGGACUUUGGGUCUCUAGAUACCAUUUGAAUGUAAACACACUGUCUAUAAAAACGUAUAUAGUGUGCUUUUCUGCAAAAUGCCACAGAAAGAAAUAGAGAGUUAUUUCAAAACUUUCCAAAUUAAAAUAAUUACUGUUGAACAUUUGUUGUCUUUAGGAACCAUGUUUUUUUUUAAAUAUUAAAUCAGCUAUAGCAAUAGCAAUAGCACUUAGACUUAUAUACCAUUUCACAGCCCUCU